rnacentral:rRNA from 1 species
UCUUGGUCAUUUAGAGGAAGUAAAAGUCGUAACAAGGUCUCCGUUGGUGAACCAGCGGAGGGAUCAUUUCUUGGUCAUUUAGAGGAAGUAAAAGUCGUAACAAGGUCUCCGUAGGUGAACCUGCGGAGGGAUCAUUACAAGUGACCCCGGUCUAACCACCGGGAUGUUCAUAACCCUUUGUUGUCCGACUCUGUUGCCUCCGGGGCGACCCUGCCUUCGGGCGGGGGCUCCGGGUGGACACUUCAAACUCUUGCGUAACUUUGCAGUCUGAGUAAACUUAAUUAAUAAAUUAAAACUUUUAACAACGGAUCUCUUGGUUCUGGCAUCGAUGAAGAACGCAGCGAAAUGCGAUAAGUAAUGUGAAUUGCAGAAUUCAAUGAAUCAUCGAAUCUUUGAACGCACAUUGCGCCCCCUGGUAUUCCGGGGGGCAUGCCUGUUCGAGCGUCAUUUCACCACUCAAGCCUCGCUUGGUAUUGGGCAACGCGGUCCGCCGCGUGCCUCAAAUCGACCGGCUGGGUCUUCUGUCCCCUAAGCGUUGUGGAAACUAUUCGCUAAAGGGUGUUCGGGAGGCUACGCCGUAAAACAACCCCAUUUCUAAGGUUGACCUCGGAUCAGGUAGGGAUACCCGCUGAACUUAAGCAUAUCAAUAAGCGGAGGAA